GUGUAUGCAGUAGCACAGACAUUUUAAUCCUGAACAGACACGACGGCAUGCUACUUCAUCGCUCAUCUGUCUGUUCUCAAUAAAAAAUAAAUAACAAAAAGAACAUGCCAUGUGGCUAAUCAGGACAUUUGAUUAAUAUUCAGAUAUGUGCACAGGGAUUUUAGACCAAUGAGAUUUCAUAGUGGGCGGGGCUACAUAAAUUUGAGUCACGUGAUUGAUAAACGUUGACUUUUUCUGCGUCGGACCUUCGCCGUUGUAACGGUCGCGAAUGAUUUGGAUAAAAACUCGGGAAAAUAAGAAAAAAUGUUUUCUUUUGUCGUAUUUAUCGCGUAGCAUCUGAUUAGGACAUGAUGAAGUGUUUGUUAUUCAUUCAGAAAUACACAGUUCAAAGGUUUGAGUGUGUGAGCACGGCGAUGAGCUCGUCGAUCGGCGCCGUCUCUGAAGGCUCCAGCAGUCUGAACGUGUGGCUGAAGGUGAUGAAAUGUGUGAAGAGCGUGUUGAGGUGUGGGUGUAACUCCACGGCGAUGGCGUCCUGGUAGUGAACGCUGAACAGUGUGUUUGUUCUGCUCACAUGUUUCUUGAGCUCUUGGCUGCUGGACACGUGGUCAAUGAGCAACAAUCAGACAGAGCGCUGAAGAAGAGGGUUGUGUGCUGGAAAAACGACACCGCUGGAAGAGAUGGU